AGGGUAUUCAGGGACAAGAUGAUGACAACGCUGUGGUCUUUAUGUCACAUACACGGUGUUCUUGGGUCUCUUUAGAAAAGGAGAUGACCCCUUUUCUAACAGAAUGGAAAGUCCUGUUGUCCUUUCACAUAUCACCCACAGUCAGCGACAGAGGCUGUCCCCAACGCCAGGCCUUCAGAUCCCUUUCUCAGAAGCUUUAUCUCUCCUGCCAGUUGGGGGACUGUGGCUGGUUUUCUCCAUGAGACCUAUUCUGUAUUAAACAGGAAAGCACAAACAAGCACCAAUACCACUGCCCAGAACAGAGAAAAUUAUUUGAAUGCUUCCUGUUACAAUAGUGGCCACCACAGAGGAGUAAUCUUCAGUUUAUGAAAACUUUUUUCUGAGUCCAAGAGUGUGGCAAUCUGUGAGGUUUUCAUCCUGACUUUGUCUUUCCACCCUUUGCAUAUCAUCCUGGGACGGUAGGGACAUGUACUUCUGUUGUUUCCCAAUCUCACCACCAAGGGGCGCUCGCGAUGAAACAGUUCUGUCCUGGGAUGUACCACUGAAGUGUAGCGGUGGGACCACCCACUCUGGAAGGUACCAUUACGAGAGUGAGUGUGAAAAAACAGAGGGUGCUCUGACACUGCGUCGGGCAUCGACCACAGUUCCCAGCGGAGGCACUCAUAGCGCCAGUGGGUCCAACGGCAUUCGCUCCACUUCGUCUUCCCACUGCAUUUGAAUUAGAGUGGACACCGAUAUUAAGCUGCAACUUUGUCUCUUUUCCAACUCCACCCCUUCGUUUCUACAUGGUCUCAACGAACGUGGGGAUGGGUACAGAGCGACAGAUUGGCUGCAGCUUCGAGGGUACGGCGACCGGGAGAUUGCCUGAAUUAGCUCUUCCGGGGCGCGAGUACACGCGGAAGUCCGGCUACUCCCGCCCUCCUUCGUCUCCUGCUCAGUUCCCAUUGGCUGCCUGUCUUAGACAGGCACUGAGGUCGCGGAGCUGGAACUCUGGGCGAGAGGCGUGUGUAUACCAGUGCGCCUGCGUUCGCUUUCGCGGCUUUUCAGAGUGUGCACUUUUUCUCCGAGUUUUACCGCUUUUCCCGAAGGGGGUGAAUCGCUGCCUUGGUGAGUGGCGAGAUUCGGCACAGUCAGUGGCUGUGCAUGCUGACGCUGUUUCAGUCUUACUUAGCUCUCACUCGGUCUGGAUCUUAUGGCAGCGCGCUAAUUCCUCAGUUCUGAUUGACAUGGACAACUUGUCUAGGCACUACCAGAGCAGAGGAAUGGUCUUAUUUUGCCUCCUGCCAGGCUCUGUCUCCACUGGGAGCUUGUGUAGAUGUCCGAUUGGGCCUGUCCCUCAAAGGCUGAAUUUAUCAUCCGUUGAUUUUCACUGGUUUCAGGAUCAAAAGGGGUGAAAACCCAGAAGGCCUCACACAGCCUUUCGUAGAAAUCGGCCAGGCUUUCAUCUGGAUCAUGUAGCACCUUAGUGGUCUUAGCCAUGUUAGCAGGCUUCUUAGCCCUGCCUUUUACACUUUGUAGGAGAGAGGGCCUGUGGAUAUCUCUCCAACUGGUUUCUCCCCGCCUCUGCAUUGAGGUGCCAGCAAGUCUCUUCCUCUGGGAAGUUCUCCCAAGCCCAGUUCUCCACAUCUAAUUGGCCGCCUGGAGCAUUGGUCUUGAGCCAUUUUCUAGCCUUUGUCAUGACUCAUCCCCAUUCCUCUGUAUUGAAUAGGGUGAGGAGAUGCUGCAGGCAGUCUCCCCAGGUGGGGCGGUGGGUCUGGAAGAUGGAUUCUAAGAGACCAAUCACCGCUUGGGGCUUUUCAGAGUAUGAGGGGGUGUGCUGUUUCCAGUUAAGGAGAUCAGUCAUGGAAAAAGGCUGGUAGUCAAAAAUGGAUCAACAGAGCAGAAACUGUGAGCUUGUGUAUGUCUCUUGAUCUAAUUGUAGAUUUGUGGAACCACUGUCCGGAGAUGUCACUGGCCAUCCUUUCCUCGUUCCUGUUUUAGACAGGGGCGCCACAGAGAUACUCUGACCAGGCUCCCCGAGCCUAUGGAUGCCUCGUGCCUCCUCUUCUUGUUGCUCCAAGUCUCAUGUUCUGUCACCUUCCUCUCUGCGUCUGAUGUGAGCCAGGCACAUGCACACACACAGAAAGACACGCAAACACAGGCGACAUAAGCAUACCUGUGUAAACACACACAAGGAAGGCACAGAGACACAAACAGGGAACACAGGUGUUCCGGUAGCUGAGGACGCCUGUGUCCAGCAAUAUAGGAGACUGGCGCUGUGUCCUGCCCUUUUGGGAUCCCUGUCCAUUUCUUCCCCAAGCUGUUCAGUAUUAUCACCAGCCAGCCUUAAGUCGUCUCUGACUUUGUGGUGGUGAUGAGAGGCCAGUCAGUGGAUGUGGAAAUUCACAGAAGACCCCAAAGUCAGCACAAAAGUACCAAGCGACAGUGGAGAGAAACCCAUUCCAACUGGUGGUGCUUUCCAGGAGGAAGGUCUGGACUUAAGGGCCCAGGGGAAUCUCAAACUCAGUGAGCAGCAGGAGGCCUGGGGGUGGCUUAACCUGGGGAAUGAUGCUUCUGACUAAGGUGCUAGAUUCACCCUGCCUCUAUCAGAAUCACCUAGGAUUCUCAUCUUGUAAUCACAGCUUCUUUGAGUGAGGCCUGGACACAUGAAGUCCCCAAGCCUCCAGUCUCAGCCUGUCACUUGCUACCAGUAUGACCUGAAUCCAAGCUCCACAUCCAACCUGCAUGAGCCUAAGCAUUCCCAUUUGGAAAAGGAGAGUGUCCCAGCCUCUAUGUGGCUGUCCCUUUAAAGCCCAACUUUGAUUCCCUCACAACCUGUGUUUCUGUCAGUAACCUCUCAUUGCAGGAUCUACCUCCUUGGGAAGUACUGCAGGAGGUCGAGUCACAGGACUUUGCUGAUUAUCUGCUGGAGACAUGAACAAGGUCAGCAUGGGGCUCACCAGGACCUGAACCCUUCGUGAACAGCGAAAAAUUCCAACACAAAUCGCCAAUUCUGCGAAGGCUUAGAGCAACCCCAUCUCAGCAAUCCUGUGUGAUCCUGGGCUAUUGUGAUCCAAUAACCAGCUGAGGAAUUUAAAGCUGCUGGUUUCCAGCCUGCAGCUUGGAGCUCCCCAUUUAUAAACCCAGAAGCAGUGGGCUGGAGUGGAAUGACAGGGCAUAUACCCUGGAGGAAACAGGCGAGGCAGGGAAGGAUCGCACAGGAGGAGCAUCCACUCCCUUCCCCACCCACCCACACCACCCUGGGAGACAGGUUGUAUCAGUGAUAUUAAGGUAGUACUCCUUAACGAUCAGUGUGUUCCUAAAGUAGGGUUUAUUCCAAAAAGCAACUUAGCAGCGUGCAGCGGGACCAGGGAUGCCUCAGUUCCUGCACCUGCCAAGUUUCUGGAGUCCGUAGUUUGCCUGCAGGGCAGGCAUCAACAGCUUCUGCUUCUCCACUCCAAGUGCUCACACCACAUAAGAUGAUCCCCCACUUCCCUCCCCAGCCCCCCUACCCACCUGUCCUCAUUCUCCCUCACUGACCUUCAAAUCAAUCAUGUAGCUAAGUAAGACUUCAUCUUGUUCACUGAUCAUGACGUAUAGUUGGCGGUUGUUCACAAUCCACUGCAGGUCAAGGAUCCAGUCAUGCCACAUGCCGGGCCAGGUAGAUCCAGAAGCAACAGGGCUAGUCUGGGAAGAAACAAGUGAGAGGGUAAGAGGCAGGGAGGCUAGGGGCCCCGAAUGGAGGAAAUAGGCUGCAAGUGUCAGACAUUUUUCUCUCUCUCUUAAGGAGCAGGAGGAAACAAACUACAAGUGUCAGAUUUUUUCUGUAUAGAAAAUUAAAAGGUUUCUUUUAAAAUUCUGUGUUGCCAUGAUGACACCUGUUUCCACCUGAACUUAACUUUUCUCAAACCUUGAGCUAACCUCUAUUUUUCUUAUGGAAAUGUUUUUCUUAAGCUAUGUUAAUGAACUGUGUAUUUACACUUGACUCUGUCUUCAUGUUUGUUCCACCUAAGGCUCAGAAGGGUGAAUGCCUCAACAAACCAGUAUGUUUUACUCAUACAAUUUUUCUCCUAAUCUGUGUUAAUAAAACUAUGCAUUUGCUUGGAAACCUGCCUUUCUUCAAGAUUCAUGUCAAUUGUUUUAUGGCCCAGGAUGACUCACCUUGUGCCAGUGUUAUCUCAAGAUACAUGUUGUGGGUGAGGGGCCUGGUGCCACUCUCUGUGUAUUGAGACAUUUCCUUUGUCUAAUUAGCAGCCUGCUAUUCGGUAUAUAACUUCCUGCUAAAGACUAGCAGGGGGCACUCUUUCUGCCCUCUUCUGAUAUCUAUGUCAGAAUCUUACUCUAUCUCUUUUGUACUUUAAUAAAACUUGAUUACACAAAAGCUCUGAGCAAACAAGCCUUGUCACUGGCCCCGGAUUGAAUUCCUUUCCUCCCCAGGCCAAGAAUCCCAGCGUCUUUCACGGCUGAGCAACA
rnacentral:lncRNA from 1 species